ACAGCGGGCCAUGCCACCGUGAACAAGCCUGAUCGCAUCUGAUCUCAGAAGCUAAGCAGGGUCGGGCCUGGUUAGUACUUGGAUAGGAGACCACCUAGGAAGACCAGGUGCUGAAGGUG
rnacentral:rRNA from 1 species